GUACUGCCUAUAAUCAAAAAGCUUUUAGUGGCGGGAUUGCGUAUCUGGAUCUACAGUGGGGACACGGACGGGCGAGUACCGGUAACAUCAACGAAAAACAGCUUAAAUGAGUUGCGAAUACCGAUAAAGGAAGCAUUGAGGGCGUGGUUUCACCGGCGUCAAGUAGCCGGGUGGGUGGUUACGUAAGAGGGUGGCCUAACCUUUGCAACAGUGAGGGGAGCGGGUCACCAGGUUCCGGUUCUCCAACCCGAUCAGGCCCUUUUCCUCUUUUCCAAUUUCCUUUCGGCCAAAACCUUGCCCCCUUCUCGCUUCUAGUGAUCAUAUAUAAUUAUAUAAAUCUCUCGAUCUCUCUUGUUAUUGUUACAUUAUAUAGCUGCAAUAAAUAGAGUAACGAUU